UACGUAGGGUGCGAGCGUUAAUCGGAAUUACUGGGCGUAAAGCGUGCGCAGGCGGUUAUUUAAGUCAGGUGUGAAAGCCCUGGGCUUAACCUAGGAAUGGCGCUUUGAGACUGGAUAGCUUGGAGUGUGGCAGAGGGAGGUGGAAUUCCACGUGUAGCAGUGAAAUGCGUAGAGAUGUGGAGGAACACCGAUGGCGAAGGCAGCCUCCUGGGCCAGCACUGACGCUCAUGCACGAAAGCGUGGGGAGCAAACAGG
rnacentral:rRNA from 1 species